rnacentral:rRNA from 1 species
AGUCGAGCGACUGAUUAGAAGCUUGCUUCUAUGACGUUAGCGGCGGACGGGUGAGUAACACGUGGGCAACCUGCCUGUAAGACUGGGAUAACUUCGGGAAACCGAAGCUAAUACCGGAUAGGAUCUUCUCCUUCAUGGGAGAUGAUUGAAAGAUGGUUUCGGCUAUCACUUACAGAUGGGCCCGCGGUGCAUUAGCUAGUUGGUGAGGUAACGGCUCACCAAGGCAACGAUGCAUAGCCGACCUGAGAGGGUGAUCGGCCACACUGGGACUGAGACACGGCCCAGACUCCUACGGGAGGCAGCAGUAGGGAAUCUUCCGCAAUGGACGAAAGUCUGACGGAGCAACGCCGCGUGAGUGAUGAAGGCUUUCGGGUCGUAAAACUCUGUUGUUAGGGAAGAACAAGUACAAGAGUAACUGCUUGUACCUUGACGGUACCUAACCAGAAAGCCACGGCUAACUACGUGCCAGCAGCCGCGGUAAUACGUAGGUGGCAAGCGUUAUCCGGAAUUAUUGGGCGUAAAGCGCGCGCAGGCGGUUUCUUAAGUCUGAUGUGAAAGCCCACGGCUCAACCGUGGAGGGUCAUUGGAAACUGGGGAACUUGAGUGCAGAAGAGAAAAGCGGAAUUCCACGUGUAGCGGUGAAAUGCGUAGAGAUGUGGAGGAACACCAGUGGCGAAGGCGGCUUUUUGGUCUGUAACUGACGCUGAGGCGCGAAAGCGUGGGGAGCAAACAGGAUUAGAUACCCCUGGUAGUCCACGCCGUAAACGAUGAGUGCUAAGUGUUAGAGGGUUUCCGCCCUUUAGUGCUGCAGCUAACGCAUUUAAGCACUCCGCCUGGGGGAGUUACGGUCGCAAGACUGAAACUCAAAGGAAUUGACGGGGGCCCGCACAAACCGGUGGAGCAUGUGGUUUAAUUCGAAACAACCCGAAAAACCCUUACCAGGUCUUGACAUCCUUCUGAACAACUCUA